CCAUACAGUGGGGGAUAACCAGAAGAAAUUCUGGCUAAUACCGCAUACGAAGCACAAUUUUGAAAGUAGUGCUUGAAAGGAUGCUUCGGCAUUCGCUGAAUGAUGGGCCUGCGUAGCAUUAGUUUGAUGGUGGGGUAACGGCCUACCAUGACUACGAUGCUUAGCUGGUCUGAGAGGAUGAUCAGCCACACUGGAACUGAGACACGGUCCAG
rnacentral:rRNA from 1 species